rnacentral:rRNA from 1 species
UACGAAGGGGGCGAGCGUUGUUCGGAUUUACUGGGCAUAAAGGGCGCGCAGGCGGCCUAUUUUGUCAGGCGUGAAAGCCCCGGGCUUAACCUGGGAACUGCGUUUGAUACGGAUGGGCUAGAGUUCGGGAGAGGAGAGUGGAAUUCCCAGUGUAGAGGUGAAAUGCGCAGAUAUCAGGAGGAACACCGGUGGCGAAGGCGGCCUUCUGGACCAGCACUGACACUCAAGCACGAAAGCGUGGGGAGCAAACAGG